CCUACGGGAGGCAGCAGUGAGGAAUAUUGGUCAAUGGACGAGAGUCUGAACCAGCCAAGUAGCGUGAAGGAUGACUGCCCUAUGGGUUGUAAACUUCUUUUAUAAAGGAAUAAAACGAGGCACGUGUGCCUUUUUGCAUGUACUUUAUGAAUAAGGAUCGGCUAACUCCGUGCCAGCAGCCGCGGUAAUACGGAGGAUCCGAGCGUUAUCCGGAUUUAUUGGGUUUAAAGGGAGCGUAGAUGGGUUGUUAAGUCAGUUGUGAAAGUUUGCGGCUCAACCGUAAAAUUGCAAUUGAUACUGGCAGUCUUGAGUACGGUUGAGGUAGGCGGAAUUCGUGGUGUAGCAGUGAAAUGCUUAGAUAUCACGAAGAACCCCGAUUGCGAAGGCAGCUUACUAAACUGUGACUGACAUUGAUGCUCGAAAGUGUGGGUAUCAAACAGGAUUAGAUACCCUUGUAGUC
rnacentral:rRNA from 1 species